rnacentral:rRNA from 1 species
AGAGUUGAUCCUGGCUUAGAACGAACGCUGGCGGCGCGUCUUAAGCAUGCAAGUCGAGCGGGAGAUGGUAGCUUGCUACCAUUGAGAGCGGCGGACUGGUGAGUAACGCGUGGGUGACGUACCCUCCGGACGGGGAUAGCUCCUAGAAAUAGGAGGUAAUACCGGAUACGGUGCCUGCUGUCAGAGGGCAGGCAGGAAAGGUUCUUUGAACCGCCGGGGAGCGGCCCGCGUGCCAUUAGCUAGUUGGUGGGGUAACGGCCUACCAAGGCGAUGAUGGCUACCCGGCCUAAGAGGGUGGACGGGCACAUUGGGACUGAGAUACGGCCCAGACUCCUACGGGAGGCAGCAGCUAAGAAUAUUCCGCAAUGGGGGAAACCCUGACGGAGCGACGCCGCGUGGACGAAUGAAGGCCGGAAGGUUGUAAAGUCCUUUUAUGACUGAUGAAUAAGGAAGGUGAGAGAAACGCCUUCUGGUGACGGUAGGUCAUGAAUAAGCAACGGCUAAUUACGUGCCAGCCGCCGC